GGGGGUAUAGCUCAGGGGUAGAGCAUUUGACUGCAGAUCAAGAGAGGUCCCCAGUUCAAAUCUAGGUGCCCCCU
rnacentral:tRNA from 2 species